AUUGAACGCUGGCGGCAUGCCUUACACAUGCAAGUCGAACGGUAACGGGCCUUCGGGUGCCGACGAGUGGCGAACGGGUGAGUAAUACAUCGGAACGUGCCCGAUCGUGGGGGUUAACGAGGCGAAAGCUUUGCUAAUACCGCAUACGAUCUACGGAUGAAAGCAGGGGACCGCAAGGCCUUGCGCGGACGGAGCGGCCGAUGGCAGAUUAGGUGGUUGGUGGGAUAAAAGCUUACCAAGCCGACGAUCUGUAGCUGGUCUGAGAGGAUGAUCAGCCACACUGGGACUGAGACACGGCCCAGACUCCUACGGGAGGCAGCAGUGGGGAAUUUUGGACAAUGGGCGCAAGCCUGAUCCAGCCAUGCCGCGUGCAGGAUGAAGGCCUUCGGGUUGUAAACUGCUUUUGUACGGAACGAAAAGCCUUCUUUUAAUACAGGAGGGUCAUGACGGUACCGUAAGAAUAAGCACCGGCUAACUACGUG
rnacentral:rRNA from 1 species